GACGAACGCUGGCGGCGUGCUUAACACAUGCAAGUCGAACGGAAAGGCCCUGCUUUUGUGGGGUGCUCGAGUGGCGAACGGGUGAGUAACACGUGAGUAACCUGCCCUUGACUUUGGGAUAACUUCAGGAAACUGGGGCUAAUACCGGAUAGGAGCUCCUGCUGCAUGGUGUGGGUUGGAAAGUUUCGGCGGUUGGGGAUGGACUCGCGGCUUAUCAGCUUGUUGGUGGGGUAGUGGCUUACCAAGGCUUUGACGGGUAGCCGGCCUGAGAGGGGGACCGGCGACAUUGGGACUGAGGUACGGACCAGACUCCUACGGGAGGCAGCAGUGGGGAAUAUUGCACAAUGGGCGGAAGCGUGAUGCAGCAACGCCGCGUGCGGGAUGCCGGCCUUCGGGUUGUAAACAGAUUUCGCCUGUGACGAAGCGUGAGUGACGGUAAUGGGUAAAGAAGCACCGGCUAACUACGUG
rnacentral:rRNA from 1 species